rnacentral:rRNA from 1 species
UACGAAGGGGGCUAGCGUUGUUCGGAAUUACUGGGCGUAAAGCGUGCGCAGGCGGCUUCUCAAGUCAGGGGUGAAAGCCCAGAGCUCAACUCUGGAAUUGCCUUUGAGACUGAGUGGCUUGAGUACGAGAGAGGUGAGUGGAAUUCCCAGUGUAGAGGUGAAAUUCGUAGGAUAUUGGGAAGAACACCGGUGGCGAAGGCGGCUCACUGGCUCGUAACUGACGCUCAUGCACGACAGCGUGGGGAUCAAACAGG